rnacentral:rRNA from 1 species
AAACUAGAGAGCGGCGUACGGGUGCGUAACACGUGUGCAACCUACCUUUAUCGGGGGAAUAGCCUUUCGAAAGGAAGAUUAAUACUCCAUAAUAUAUUAGAUGGCAUCAUUUAAUAUUGAAAACUCCGGUGGAUAGAGAUGGGCACGCGCAAGAUUAGAUAGUUGGUGAGGUAACGGCUCACCAAGUCAAUGAUCUUUAGGGGUCCUGAGAGGGAGAUCCCCCACACUGGUACUGAGACACGGACCAGACUCCUACGGGAGGCAGCAGUGAGGAAUAUUGGACAAUGGGUGAGAGCCUGAUCCAGCCAUCCCGCGUGAAGGAUGACGGUCCUAUGGAUUGUAAACUUCUUUUGUAUAGGAAUAAACCUACCCUCGUGAGGGUAGCUGAAGUACUAUACGAAUAAGCACCGGCUAACUCCGUGCCAGCCGCCGCGGUAAUAC